rfam:Brassica oleracea var. oleracea cultivar TO1000 chromosome C6, whole genome shotgun sequence
GGAAUAUAAGAAACUGUUUCUUAAUUUUUAACUAAAAAAGUUAAGAACCGACUCUUAAAUAAGAACCAAAAAAAUAUGUUUAUUUAAGAGUCGGUUCUUAACUUUUUUAGUUAAAAGUUAAGAGAUGGUUUCUUAUAUUCC